ACAUACUGACGGGACAUAAGUAUACUAUUUUUACAUAAAAUAUGGCAAGAAAGAAUUGGAUAUCUUGCCUACUUGAGAAACCAGAUCAUCAUCUAAAAAUUUAGAUGCUUGCUCUUAAAAUAAAUUAAAAUAUUAAGUGAGGUUAUAUUUGUGCGGGUGUGUGUAAUGGAAAGGAAAGAGAGUUUAGUAUUGCUUAGAAUAACGUUACAUGGAGUUUUGAAGAUAUUAAACAAUAGUGCUGGAUUCGAGUUAUAACUAUCAAGUUCGGUCAACAUUGAGUAAUUUAAUUUUUAGUGUUGGAUUAGUCCUUAUCCAUUUUUUUACCAUUCAACGGUCCUAAGACCCGAUGCCUCGGUCCUUUAGUCCUAGCUAUCAUUAUAGCGAUUAUUCACUCAUAGCUAGGAUUGAAUAAUAUACAACGAAGAAAAUAAUAAAUGAUAGAUAGCGCGUAUAAUAACGUCUCCUACUUUACACUUUAGCUAUCUUGUCUCUAGAAAGAGGUUAUUUUGAUCAGUUCAUCGUUAGUAAAUACGUCAUUUCAGCUGUUGUAGUUGCCAUAAAAGACGGAUAAGGACCGAACUGAUAGGACUUUUUGUUCUUUUAGAUUGAUCAAACACUAGUGGAUUUAGAUUAUUCCAUUGCUUGCGACAACGUACGUUAUUCUCUAUGACGUCACUAUUAAAAAGCAAAGUGUUUCUUAAUUUACAAAUCCUCUGUUUAUUUGUAUAUUACUUCCUAUGAAUAUAUUUAAUUUUGUAAAUAAUUUAGUAUUUGAUUCAGUUUUUGUUUUUUUAGAUGGCUCAAAUGAUGACUAGAUUCUCAAUUUCUAAGGCACUGGUUCAACUUAAAGCAUUAAAUGUUAAAGUUCAGCCUAUUGAAUAAAAUGGAGAAAAUGAGCGACUCUCGUCUUUCAGGAUAGAGUAAAUGACAGAGUGACAUAACAAGCUUCUCCAGGCUAAGAACGGGAUAGCUAACCUAACAAUAUUCGCCGUAGAGCAAAAAUAAGACAGUUUUGGAAAGAAAGGAUUGAAUGAACCAAGGCCUUCCUCUAGCAGGCCUUGGAUUAAUGACUUUUGAUAUAGAUAGACUCACGAUGUAGAUUUUAGGAUAAAUUAUUUUGUGGAUAAUGAAUAAUAUGUGGAUAUCUCUUGGGACGAGAGGAUUUAAUGAAAUGGAGAAUCAUUCAUAAAUGCGGAAUCUAUUUUUGGAUGUUUUGGAAGUUCAUACUUCAGAUGUUUAUAAAAAUAUAGGUUAAUAUAUAUUA
rnacentral:lncRNA from 1 species